rnacentral:rRNA from 1 species
UUAAUGAGAGUUUGAUCCUGGCUCAGGACGAACGCUGGCGGCGUGCCUAAUACAUGCAAGUAGAACGCUGAGGUUUGGUGUUUACACUAGACUGAUGAGUUGCGAACGGGUGAGUAACGCGUAGGUAACCUGCCUCAUAGCGGGGGAUAACUAUUGGAAACGAUAGCUAAUACCGCAUAAGAGUAAUUAACACAUGUUAGUUAUUUAAAAGGAGCAAUUGCUUCACUGUGAGAUGGACCUGCGUUGUAUUAGCUAGUUGGUGAGGUAAAGGCUCACCAAGGCGACGAUACAUAGCCGACCUGAGAGGGUGAUCGGCCACACUGGGACUGAGACACGGCCCAGACUCCUACGGGAGGCAGCAGUAGGGAAUCUUCGGCAAUGGACGGAAGRCGGACAGAGCAACGCCGCGUGAGUGAAGAAGGUUUUCAGAUCGUAAAGCUCUGUUGUUAGAGAAGAACGUUCGUAGGAGUUGAAAAUCUACCAAGUGACGGUAACUGAACAGAAAGGGA